rnacentral:rRNA from 1 species
GACGAACGCUGGCGGCGUGCUUAACACAUGCAAGUCGAACGGAAAGGCCCUGCUUUUGUGGGGUGCUCGAGUGGCGAACGGGUGAGUAACACGUGAGUAACCUGCCCUUGACUUUGGGAUAACUUCAGGAAGCUGGGGCUAAUACCGGAUAGGAGCUCCUGCUGCAUGGUGGGGGUUGGAAAGUUUCGGCGGUUGGGGAUGGACUCGCGGCUUAUCAGCUUGUUGGUGGGGUAGUGGCUUACCAAGGCUUUGACGGGUAGCCGGCCUGAGAGGGUGACCGGCCACAUUGGGACUGAGAUACGGCCCAGACUCCUACGGGAGGCAGCAGUGGGGAAUAUUGCACAAUGGGUGGAAGCCUGAUGCAGCAACGCCGCGUGCGGGAUGACGGCCUUCGGGUUGUAAACCGCUUUCGCCUGUGACGAAGCGUGAGUGACGGUAAUGGGUAAAGAAGCACCGGCUAACUACGUG